AAAAAAUGACGGUACCUGAGGAAUAAGCAUCGGCUAACUCCGUGCCAGCAGCCGCGGUAAUACGGAGGAUGCAAGCGUUAUCCGGAAUGAUUGGGCGUAAAGGGUCCGCAGGUGGCUAUGUAAGUCUGCUGUUAAAGAAUGAGGCUUAACCUCAUCAGAGCGGUGGAAACUACACAGCUAGAGUGCGUUCGGGGUAGAGGGAAUUCCUGGUGUAGCGGUGAAAUGCGUAGAUAUCAGGAAGAACACCAGUGGCGAAAGCGCUCUACUAGGCCGCAACUGACACUGAGGGACGAAAGCUAGGGGAGCGAAAGGGAUUAG
rnacentral:rRNA from 1 species